rnacentral:rRNA from 1 species
UCCCGUGUAGGGGGGGCUGCGGAGGGAUCAUUACCGAGUUUACAACUCCCAAACCCAAUGUGAACCAUACCAAACUGUUGCCUCGGCGGGGUCACGCCCCGGGUGCGUCGCAGCCCCGGAACCAGGCGCCCGCCGGAGGGACCAACCAAACUCUUUCUGUAGUCCCCUCGCGGACGUUAUUUCUUACAGCUCUGAGCAAAAAUUCAAAAUGAAUCAAAACUUUCAACAACGGAUCUCUUGGUUCUGGCAUCGAUGAAGAACGCAGCGAAAUGCGAUAAGUAAUGUGAAUUGCAGAAUUCAGUGAAUCAUCGAAUCUUUGAACGCACAUUGCGCCCGCCAGUAUUCUGGCGGGCAUGCCUGUCCGAGCGUCAUUUCAACCCUCGAACCCCUCCGGGGGUCCGGCGUUGGGGAUCGGGAACCCCUAAGACGGGAUCCCGGCCCCGAAAUACAGUGGCGGUCUCGCCGCAGCCUCUCAUGCGCAGUAGUUUGCACAACUCGCACCGGGAGCGCGGCGCGUCCACGUCCGUAAAACACCCAACUUCUGAAAUGUGACCUCGGAUCAGGUAGCAGGCCAA